rnacentral:rRNA from 1 species
UACGGGGGGGAGCAAGCGUUGUUCGGAAUCACUGGGCGUAAAGGGAGUCUAGGCGGUUUGGUAAGUGGGAUGUGAAAUGCCCGGGCUCACCCCGGGACCUGCAUCCCAAACUGCUGAGCUUGAGUACAGGAGAGGGUGGGGGAAUUCCAGGUGUAGCGGUGAAAUGCGUAGAUAUCUGGAGGAACACCGGUGGCGAAGGCGACUACCUGGCCUGUUCUUGACGCUGAGGCGCGAAAGCUAGGGGAGCAAACGGG